UCCAGUCCAGUUGGUGGUGGUAAAGCACCUUAAAGAUGGUUGCCAACCCCCAUAUAAAGUCCACAGAAGAAGAAGAAGACCGGAGAGGCGCGAUUACUAGAAACUAACUAGGUUUCCCUUUUUAUCUGUGGAUUGAUUGUCGGAGUAGAGAACACACUAUUUUGUGUGAUGCAAAAUGGGUCAAAAUUCCACAAAGAUCAAGAAAAAAAGGGUCUCGUGCAUUUCAGAACCAAGAGGGGCCUUGCUUCGUCCUUCAUGACCGGGAAAGACCUCGAUUCUAGGCCAUCGAAAAUCCAACAUCCAUCUCAUUAGAUAACAGGACGGAUCAACAGUGAUUCAUAUUACUGGACCUGAGCCCUAGGACCAUGCCUCAGGACUACCUGGCAUGAUGACUCCUUGCUGUCCCCAGUCCACCUGGCCGUGCUGCUGCUCCAGUUUCAACUGUUCUGCCUGCGGCUAUGGAACCCUGACCUGUUCACCGGACGUGCUUGUUGCACCCUCGACAACUACUAUGAUCAUUAUUAUUUGACCAUGCUGGUCAUUUAUGAACAUUUUAACAUCUUGACCAUGUUCUGUUAUAAUAUCCACCUGGCACAGCCAGAAGAGGACUGGCCACCCCUCAUAGCCUGGUUCCUCUCUAGGUUUCUUCCUAGGUUUUGGCCUUUCUAGGGAGUUUUUCCUAGGGAGUUUUUCCUAGCCACCGUGCUUCUUUCACAUGCAUUGCUUGCUGUUUGGGGUUUUAGGCUGGGUUUCUGUACAGCGCUUUGAGAUAUCAGCUGAUGUACGAAGGGCUAUAUAAAUACAUUUGAUUUGAUUUGAUUUGCUACUAUUAUAUUAUAUCAUAAGUAUUUCAGGGACAACCUGGUUGAUUAAUAUUGGGUUGUUAACGUUUGUUUUCAUAUAAAUAAAUGUGGGACACAAAAAAAUGGCA